rnacentral:rRNA from 1 species
CAGUCGUACGAGAAAGUCGGCUUCGGCCGAUGAGUACAGUGGCGCACGCGUGAGUAACGCGUGGGUAAUCUACCCCUCGGUCAGGAAUAACCCGCCGAAAGGCGGGCUAAUACCCGAUAACACUGACGCUCUGCGGAGUGUCUUUCAAAGAAGGCCUCUGUUUACAAGCUUUCGCCGGAGGAUGAGCCCGCGUACCAUUAGCUAGUUGGCAGGGUAAUGGCCUACCAAGGCAACGAUGGUUAGCUGGUCUGAGAGGAUGGCCAGCCACACUGGAACUGAGACACGGUCCAGACUCCUACGGGAGGCAGCAGUGAGGAAUCUUGCGCAAUGGGGGAAACCCUGACGCAGCAACGCCGCGUGAGUGAGGAAGGCCUUCGGGUCGUAAAGCUCUGUCAGAUGGGAAGAAAUGGGUGGGGGCUAAUAUCGUCCACCCUUGACGGUACCAUCAGAGGAAUCACCGGCUAACUCCGUGCCAGCAGCCGCGGUAAUACGGGGGGUGCAAGCGUUGUUCGGAAUCAUUGGGCGUAAAGCGCGCGCAGGCGGCUUGGUAAGUCAGAUGUGAAAUCCCUGGGCUUAACCCAGGAAGUGCAUUUGAUACUGCCUCGCUAGAGUACGGGAGAGGAAAGUGGAAUUCCUGGUGUAGAGGUGAAAUUCGUAGAUAUCAGGAGGAACACCGGUGGCGAAGGCGACUUUCUGGCCCGAUACUG